CUGAAUGUAGCUGGGCGAGUCUGGAAGGCCUCUGUCCCAGGCGGCAGCAGAGAAGCUCCUGACUCACCACGGAUGCUGGCUCUGGACCCACUGCUGCCCCCGGGGCUUGGCAGGUUGCACUGGAAAAACUGGGUCAGGCAUGUGGCCUAGUUUGCUGGUUCGCAGCACAGGCCAGGGAUGAACCUGGGAGUGUGAAGGGCGUCUCACUUUACUCCCUGGCUCAAUCAAGUGACAGAUGUCUGAGGAGUCCCUACUAAGUGCCAGGCCUAGGCCUCCUCACCCUCCGUGAUAGUGACUGACUCACCUCAGCCUGCAGUGCUGAGUAACAACGCAUACUCUCCACUGCAUCAUAACACGGCAUUAUCCAUCAACAACUGGGAAACAACCUACUGGGAUAGCCACUUCAGUCUUCUGGACCUGCAGUAGAUGACUUUAUAGUUUCCCCUUUAUUGCACAGGUUGAAACUGGAGGUCCUGAGCAUGCUGGAGAAGCACACGACCACUGAGCAGUUCCCCAGGCUGAAAGUUGACUUCUGUCAGUGAGCCACGGCGUAAGCAUCAAUUGGCUCUAACAUACUAAUCAGUUGGCUCAUACAUACUGCUAGCAUUACUAACAGCCACAUAAGGCUCCACGUCUCCUGUAACAGUCUCACUUCACCCCUGGUGCAGACCCAACUUUUGCUUUUGGAUAAAUGCAAGCUUUUAGAGCAAG